UCUGCCACAAAUUUCAGCAGUCGAAGAAGAACGAGCCUACGAUGAAAACAAAACGACUCUUUAAAAAUCUACUUUUAAAUUGUAGCGACUGAAACAAAUUUUUGCCUUACUGAGACACGUUUGGCCUGAAUUCAUAUUGACAUUAUUAUUUGAUUCACUUAGACAAACGCGAUAGCUUACUCUAAUUAGCGCCAAUAUUUUUAGUUAACAAUAUAUGAUAUCAAAAUAUUAGCUAGCUUAGCCACUAGCUAUCAUUAGCUCGCAGCUAACUUAAAGCCUUUGACGCAGCUUCAGUUUCUGAGCUGUUCAGUUAUAAACGAAUUACUUAAAAAGCCCAAACAUGUCGGAUGAUUAUGAAUUCAGCGACGACGCGACCAUGAUGAGAAUGGAGGAGGACGGAGAGGCAAACAGUGAUGACCCGAUGUCAGCGACCGGGGACUGUGGCCUGAUGGGGGGAGAGGCCGAGGGAUCCAGAAUUGACGCUAGUAAAAACGAGGAGGAUGAGGGGAAGAUGUUUGUAGGAGGGCUCAGCUGGGACACGACUAAGAAGGAUCUGAAAGAUUACUUCUCCAAGUUUGGGGAGGUUGUAGAUUGCACAUUAAAACUGGACCCCAUGACUGGACGUUCAAGAGGCUUUGGCUUUGUGCUCUUCAAAGAACCUGAAAGUGUUGAUAAGGUUGCCUCACAAAAGGAGCAUAAACUCAAUGGGAAGGUCAUUGACCCCAAAAAAGCCAAGGCCAUGAAGAGCAAGGAGCCCGUGAAGAAGAUCUUUGUUGGUGGUCUCUCUCCAGACACUCCUGAAGAGAAAGUCAGAGAGUACUUUGGUGCCUUCGGAGAGGUGGAGUCAAUUGAACUUCCCAUGGAGAACAAAACAAACAAAAGGAGAGGCUUCUGCUUCAUCACGUUCAAAGAGGAGGAACCAGUAAAAAAGAUCAUGGAGAAAAAAUACCACAACAUUGGACUAAGCAAGUGUGAAAUAAAAGUGGCAAUGUCUAAGGAACAGUACCAGCAGCAGCAGUACUGGGGAGGCAGAGGUGGAUACUUGUCCAGGUCUCGAGGAAGAGGUGGUGGUCCUAAUCAAAAUUGGAACCAGGGUUAUGGCAGCUAUUGGAAUCAAGGCUAUGGAAAUUAUGGCAAUUAUGGUUACAGUAAUCAAGGAUAUGGAGGAUAUGGUGGCUAUGAUUACUCUGGUUACAACAACUAUUAUGGAUAUGGUGACUACGACAACCAAUCUGGUGGAUAUGGCAAGUCGCCACGGCGUGGUGGUCACACCAACAGUUACAAGCCGUAUUAAUGGGGGAAACCCUCAUCUUCAAGUAGCGGAGCUUCCUUGCAGGCCAUGAGCUGACUCCCAGAUACUCUCAGGGCCCGCUCAAUGCGGACCGGGUACGAGAAGCAUACGCUCUCGAAUGCUGCCAUUUGGUUUCAGAGUGAUGAAAGUCUGCAGUGCGCUGGUGGAGCAUUGGCCAAAGAGAUGAUGGUAUCCAGCAAAGAUCACUUAGCUGAUUGUAAGAAAAUAAAUGAAGAACACUAUGACCUACAGUACAUUUCCUCUAUAUUUACCAGAGUAUUUGUUGUACCUUAAAAAGUUUUGGAUUUUGAUGUUUUGCAUUUAUUUAGAUUGCUGCAAAGUUUUAGCAGUUCCUCAUCCCUUCUUGUUUUUUUGUAUUUAAUGUUCUCAAAUGCUAUUUGUGAAUUGCUUGAUUUAUUCCAUAACUGAAAUGUUAGAUUGGUUGGAAUACAUCACACAUAUAUAUACAGUACUGUGGUAGCAAAGAUACAAAAUGCGUUGUUCCAAUUUAUCCACUUUAUCAUAGUCAUAUAAUACAUAUGUUAUUACAGAGCUCGACAGUCAUGAACAUACAGUAUAUAUACACAGUGUAUUGGACAUAAUGAAAUACAACAAAUAAAAAUAAUAAACACUUA